GACGAACGCUGGCGGCGUGCUUAACACAUGCAAGUCGAACGAAGUGGCGAACGGGUGAGUAACGCGUAAUCAACCUGCCCUUCAGAGGGGGACAACAGUUGGAAACGACUGCUAAUACAGCAUACUGAAGGAGGGGCUUGCGUCCGAUUAGCUAGUUGGAGGGGUAACGGCCCACCAAGGCGAUGAUCAGUAGCCGGACAGGAAGGAGGAAAGGCCACAUUGGGACUGGGAAACGGCCCAGACUCCGACGGGAGGCAGCAGUGGGGAAUCUUCCGCAAUGGAAGAAAGUCUGACGGAGCAACGCCGCGGGAGUGAUGACGGCCUUCGGGUUGUAAAGCUCUGUUAAUCGGGACGCGGUACCGGAAUAGAAAGCCACGGCUAACUACGUGCCAGCAGCCGCGGUAAUAC
rnacentral:rRNA from 1 species